AACGCGAAGAACCUUACCUACUCUUGACAUCCAGAGAACUUUCCAGAGAUGGAUUGGUGCCUUCGGGAACUCUGAGACAGGUGCUGCAUGGCUGUCGUCAGCUCGUGUUGUGAAAUGUUGGGUUAAGUCCCGCAACGAGCGCAACCCUUAUCCUUUGUUGCCAGCGGUUCGGCCGGGAACUCAAAGGAGACUGUCAGUGAUAAACUGGAGGAAGGUGGGGAUGACGUCAAGUCAUCAUGGCCCUUACGAGUAGGGCUACACACGUGCUACAAUGGCGUAUACAAAGAGAAGCGACCUCGCGAGAGCAAGCGGACCUCAUAAAGUACGUCGUAGUCCGGAUUGGAGUCUGCAACUCGACUCCAUGAAGUCGGAAUCGCUAGUAAUCGUAGAUCAGAAUGCUACGGUGAAUACGUUCCCGGGCCUUGUACACACCG
rnacentral:rRNA from 1 species